AACUCUGAUGCAUCGAUGCCGCGUGAGUGAAGAAGGCCUUUGGGUUGUAAAGCUCUUUUGUAGGGGAAGAUAAUGACUGUACCCUAAGAAUAAGGUCCGGCUAACUUCGUGCCAGCAGCCGCGGUAAUACGAAGGGACCUAGCGUAGUUCGGAAUUACUGGGCGUAAAGCGCGCGUAGGCCGUUGAGUUAGUUAAUUGUGAAAUCCCAAAGCUUAACUUUGGAACUGCAAUUAAAACUGCUCGACUAGAGUUUGAUAGAGGAAAGCGGAAUACAUAGUGUAGAGGUGAAAUUCGUAGAUAUUAUGUAGAACACCAGUUGCGAAGGCGGCUUUCUGGAUCAACACUGACGCUGAGGCGCGAAAGUAUGGGUAGCAAAGAGGAUUAGAUACCCUCGUAGUCCAUACCAUAAACGAUGAUUGCUAGAUGUUGGAAAUUUAUUUUCAGUAUCGCAGCUAACGCAUUAAGCAAUCCGCCUGGGGAGUACGACCGCAAGGUUAAAACUCAAAUGAAUUGACGGGGACCCGCACAAGCGGUGGAGCAUGUGGUUUAAUUCGAAGAUACGCGCAGANACUUACCAACCCUUGACAUGUCUGUCGCGAGUCUAGGAAACUAGACUUUUCGGUUCG
rnacentral:rRNA from 1 species